rnacentral:rRNA from 1 species
AACGCGAAGAACCUUACCUGGCCUUGACAUGCAAGUAGUAGAACCAUGAAAGUGGGACGAGGUAGCAAUACCAGCUUGCACAGGUGCUGCAUGGCUGUCGUCAGCUCGUGUCGUGAGAUGUUGGGUUAAGUCCCGCAACGAGCGCAACCCUCGUCCUAUGUUGCCAGCGGGUUAUGCCGGGGACUCAUAGGAGACUGCCGGGGUCAACUCGGAGGAAGGUGGGGAUGACGUCAAGUCCUCAUGCCCCUUAUGUCUUGGGCUGCAAACAUGCUACAAUGGCCAGUACAAAGGGUUGCGAGACCGCAAGGUGGAGCGAAUCCCAAAAAGCUGGUCUCAGUUCGGAUUGGGGUCUGCAACUCGACCCCAUGAAGUCGGAGUCGCUAGUAAUCGCAGAUCAGCAACGCUGCGGUGAAUACGUUCCCGGGCCUUGUACACACCGAGUAUA